rnacentral:tmRNA from 1 species
GGGGGCGACCUGGUUUCGACGGGGAUAGUUGAGGUCAAGGCUGCAUGUCGAGCACUCCGGUGACUCGUAAAACCGCCGGUAAAAAAAGAUACUCGCCAACGAUUACGAGUACGCUCUAGCCGCGUAAGGCUAGCACUUCUCCGUUUCUUUCCUGUGGGGAUGGAAGAAGUGAGGGCAGCAGGAUAGCCGAGUUUCCGUGCCUGUUGGAGAUGAGGCGAAACACCUAGCGGGCUGGUCUGAAGGGAACCUUUUCCGAGGGGGUCCCAACGGACGAGAAUCAAAACUCGGAAUAAGCAUGUAGAGGCCUUCGGCUGAAGAUUUCCGGACGCGGGUUCGAUUCCCGCCGCCUCCACCA